rnacentral:lncRNA from 1 species
AGCCAGAAUGUGGUCUGAGAGGCUGGAUAUACAAAGAGACAAUGGCAUGACCAUCUGUACAAAUGGAACUAUGGCCCACAACCUGCAGCAGCCAGCCCAGGAAGCCAACCCGUCACCUGCAGCAGCCAGGAUGGAUGCUGGCCUGCCCUCAUGUGGGCUCCACCACCCUCCUGCCUGCUGUGGGAAAUCAGGAGGGUGAAGGUGAAGCUGGACUUGGCCCAGAGGUGCCCACAGGGACGCCCAGAGCUGCACAAGCUCCCUCCAUCUUGCCUCUGGGACCAGCUCUGCAUUGCUCCAAAGCCCUCAUCAGUGUCUGCUUUCUGUUGCAAUAACUGAAUACCUGAGAUUGGACAAUUUAUAAAGAAAAAAAUUAUAUCUGAC